rnacentral:rRNA from 1 species
GCGACCGGCGCACGGGUGAGUAACGCGUAUCCAACUCCCCAUAGUAGAGGAUAGCCCGGCGAAAGUCGGAUUAAUACUCUAUGUUAUUCAAUGCGGACAUCUAAUUUGAAUCAAAGAUUUAUCGCUAUGGGAUGGGGAUGCGUCUGAUUAGGUUGCAGGCGGGGUAACGGCCCACCUGGCCUACGAUCAGUAGGGGUUCUGAGAGGAAGGUCCCCCACACUGGUACUGAGACACGGACCAGACUCCUACGGGAGGCAGCAGUGAGGAAUAUUGGUCAAUGGUCGGGAGACUGAACCAGCCAAGUAGCGUGCAGGAUGACUGCCCUAUGGGUUGUAAACUGCUUUUAUCAGGGAAUAAAGUGUGGCACGUGUGCCAUUUUGUAUGUACCUGACGAAUAAGGACCGGCUAAUUCCGUGCCAGCAGCUGC